rnacentral:rRNA from 1 species
AUGGGUAUACCUAAAUUUCCCAUGGCGAACUGCUCAAUAACACAUGAUCAACUUGCCCUAUAGAGAAAAAUAACCUCGGGAAACUGAGGAUGAUGUUUCAUAGUUGAAAAGGCUUGGAAAAGUUUUUCGACCAAAGGGAUAAAAAAAAUGGUUUUUAUCCGCUAUAGGAUAGGAUCGUGCUCGAUCAUGGUUGUUGGUGAGGUAACGGCUCACCAAGCCGAUAAUCGAUAGGGGCCGUGAGAGCGGGAGCCCCGAGAUGGGUACUGAGACAGCGACCCAGGCCUUACGAGGCGCAGCAGGCGCGGAACCUCCGCAAUACACGAAAGUGUGACGGGGUUACCCAAAGUGUUCAAUUAUGAACUGUGGUAGGUGAGUAAUGUCCCCUACUAGAAAGGAGAGGGCAAGGCUGGUGCCAGCCGCCGCGGUAAAACCAGCUCUUCAAGUGGUCGGGAUAAUUAUUGGGCUUAAAGUGUCCGUAGCCGGUUUAGUAAGUUCCUGGUAAAAUCAGGUAGCCUAACUAUCUGCAUGCUAGGAAUACUGCUAUACUAGAGGGCGGGAGAGGUCUGAGGUACUACAGGGGUAGGGGUGAAAUCUUAUAAUCCUUGUAGGACCACCAGUGGCGAAGGCGUCAGACUGGAACGUGCCUG